rnacentral:rRNA from 1 species
GUCCUUAGUUACCAGCACGUAAUGGUGGGCACUCUAAGGAGACUGCCGGUGACAAACCGGAGGAAGGUGGGGACGACGUCAAGUCAUCAUGGCCCUUACGGCCUGGGCUACACACGUGCUACAAUGGUCGGUACAAAGGGUUGCCAAGCCGCGAGGUGGAGCUAAUCCCAUAAAACCGAUCGUAGUCCGGAUCGCAGUCUGCAACUCGACUGCGUGAAGUCGGAAUCGCUAGUAAUCGUGAAUCAGAAUGUCACGGUGAAUACGUUCCCGGGCCCUU